AUCCUGGCCGUAAACGAUGGGUACUAGGUGUUGGGGGUAUCGACCCCUCCAGUGCCGGAGUUAACGCAAUAAGUACCCCGCCUGGGGAGUACGGCCGCAAGGUUGAAACUCAAAGGAAUUGACGGGGGCCCGCACAAGCGGUGGAGUAUGUGGUUUAAUUCGACGCAACGCGAAGAACCUUACCAGGACUUGACAUUGAGUGAAAUGUCUAGAGAUAGAUACCUCCCUUCGGGGACACAAAACAGGUGGUGCAUGGCUGUCGU
rnacentral:rRNA from 1 species